ACACUGACGUCGCGACGCAUAUCAAUAAGCGGAGGAAAAGAAACUAACAAGGAUUCCCUAGUAACGGCGAGUGAAGCGGGAAGAGCUCAAAUUUGAAAUCUUCAAGGUUCUACCUUGACGAAUUGUAGUUUAAAGAAGUGUUUUCUGUUAGAUGAGUAGUAAAAGUUCCUUGGAAUAGGGACAUCAUAGAGGGUGAGAAUCCCGUAUUUGGACUAUUCAUUUCUAGCUUUGUGAUACACUUUCAAAGAGUCGGAUUGUUUGGGAAUGCAGUCCAAAAUGGGUGGUAAAUUUCAUCUAAAGCUAAAUAUUGGCGAGAGACCGAUAGCGAACAAAGUACCUGUGAGGGAAAGAUGAAAAGAACUUUGAAAAGAGAGUUAAACAGUACGUGAAAUUGUCAAAAGGGAAGCGUUUGACACCAGUGUUGUUUUUCCGAAAAUCAAUUACGAAUGGCUUGAUUUUGUGUUGUAUUGACCUUAUCAGCUUUCUGCACUUUUUUCGAGUCUUUCUUAAUGCACUUUUUGGUUAACAAGUCAACAUCAAUUUCUUUUGUUGUAAAAGAGUAUUCGGAAGGUGGCUUUCUUUUCGGAGAAAGUGUUUAUAGCCCUAUACUUCUACAAUCGGAGAGAUUGAGGUCUGCAGCGUAGAUCCUUCGGGGUUAGAUACACUUGUGCUAAGUUAUAGCUUUUCAUAGACAACUUGUUGACUAUGUUUAGUCUUGUAGCUUACUCGCUUGUGCUAUUUUACCUACGCUUAGGAUGUUGAGUCGUAGAGCACGCAG
rnacentral:rRNA from 1 species